AUACGGAGGAUGCGAGCGUUAUCCGGAUUUAUUGGGUUUAAAGGGAGCGUAGGCGGACGCUUAAGUCAGUUGUGAAAGUUUGCGGCUCAACCGUAAAAUUGCAGUUGAUACUGGGUGUCUUGAGUACAGUAGAGGCAGGCGGAAUUCGUGGUGUGGCGGUGGAAUGCUUAGAUAUCACGAAGAACUCCGAUUGCGAAGGCAGCCUGCUGGACUGUAACUGACGCUGAUGCUCGAAAGUGUGGGUAUCAAACAGGAUUAGAUACCCUGGUAGUCCACACAGUAAACGAUGAAUACUCGCUGUUUGCGAUAUACAGUAAGCGGCCAAGCGAAAGCGUUAAGUAUUCCACCUGGGGAGUACGCCGGCAACGGUGAAACUCAAAUGAAUUGACGGGG
rnacentral:rRNA from 1 species